UCACGUGAUUAGGCAAUAGUUCUCUCAUAGCGCAGCGCACACACCCACUGCUACACUCCGCUGACACAUUUAACUUCAACAGCAUGUUACUCUGUUACAGUGUUUCCUUGACUCUUGCGAUAUUGGGGUGGGGGUCGACCAGCCUCAGUAUUAUAAUGUUGUUUGCAGACUACUAUUGCCGUUUAGACUGCUACAUUGAAGCAAAUAGGAAUUAAUGUUGCCUACAGAAUGGCAAUAAGAACAUUUUGUUCAAUGGGACUUUCGUCAGUGUUACCACUUACACUGGGUGCAAGGCCCGUGUUAAAAUGGAAUGAUGAAAAAACACAACUGGAGACACACUUCAAUGUCCUCCGAAGAUCCAGUCUGAUUAGUAGAGGUUCUUCUGCACGUGGGCAGCAAUGUACUUAACAGCCAACAUGGUCUCCUCACAAGUGGGCUUGAUCUGGGACUCGGGGAGCAGGAAGCCAUAGCGACCUUCGUCACGCAGCUCAAAGGUGUAGGAGUACUUCACACCCAGGUCAUAGGCCCAGUCAGUAGAGAUUCCAGCACAAGGGUCUGGGAUAACACACAUCAAUCAUAUAUGGCUUUCAAUCAGCAACACGACAAAAGACUGCAAUUAAUUAACAAUAAUCUGUUAAAUCUUUCCAGUGCCAUUCUUGAAGAUGGCCCAUUCAGGUAAUGCACAAUGCUAAUAUAUUUUUCAGACAUAAUAGCAGAUUAAAGAUGCAGUCUGCAAUUCUGGCAAAAGGUUGUUGAUAUUUUGAUAUUUGAGAACUCACAGAUGGUGGUAGCGCCAGGGCCCGCGGUGUACUUGGUGCCAUACAGGCUGGUCAGGGCAUUGCUGGCUCCCUGAGCAACACUCAUCUAAAGAGGAGACGGACAAGAUUUAACACAGUGACAUCAACUGAAGAUAUUAAUCCAGCUGGGAUUGAGGAACAUACAACUUCCCAACUGUGUAUUGUAGUACUUUAGUGAGAGAAUCUUCUAAAGUUCAACAUUUUGAGUGGGUAGCGAGUGUUGUGUAUGACGCUACUCAUAUCGGGUGUAGGAUUACUGUAGUGUGAUCAUACCAGCUCAGCGUGAUCAGCAGCCAGGUCGAAGGUGUAGGAGUAGGGGAAGAGGAGCAGCUGGGUGUAGGAGUGGAUGGUGAGGUAGGCCUUGAUGGUGGCCUUGUUGCUGCGGAUGAAGUUGGCCACAUUCUUGGACUCAAUCUCAGACUCGGGCUUGGUGCCGCAGUAGGUGUUGCUGCAGGGGUCGGAGGAGGCUCCCGUGGCUGUGACCACAAACGAGACACCGGAGAGUUAGACGAGACUGGAAAACAGCACCUUCUGUUGACCACUUUGGGAAGUAAAAAUGAAACCAUCCAUGUUUUAUUUUAUUUUGUGUUAAUGAGAAGUUAUCUGAAGUUGAUGAUUGCUUCUUUCAAAUUGUAGGUUUUUUUCAGUUUGAAAGAAGCAAACAUCAAAAAGAUCCUCUACUCACUGCACCAGGCAGCAUCAAAGUUUCUGUUGAGGUCAGUGCCGACGCAGCUGGAACCGCUAUUAAUGGAGCGAUUCUUCCUCCACAUCCUGUUCUACAAGUCCAAAAGACAAGGAACAUUUCACAAAGAAGAUCACAGAUGCCUGUGACUUUGCAUCAAGAGGAACAUUCAAACAUAUAUGACAUACGCUCUUCCAGGUGUAAUCAUAGCCGUCAACGUUGAAGACAGGCAGAACGUAGACAUCCAUUUGGUCCAGCAGGCUGGUCAUCUGAGAAUCAGUUCCAUAGCUGGACACGGCCUGCAACAGACACAAGAGGUCUAAAAAGGAAAGUUCCUAUGCACAGCCUUCCAGGUGCUGAUGAGGUGCAGUCGUCAAUGAUAUAAAAAGAAGGUUAUGGAUCACCACACACUGGUGGAAUUUCUUCGCUGGUUUAUUUUUUAGUGAACGACGCGUUUCGCCAAUACUUCAUCAGGUUCACUCUUGACACAAGAGGUCUGUUUUCAAAAAGCACAAACUCAGAGUAGAUGCAGUGGAAAGCUGUUGCUGUUUCUAACUGGUGGGUCAUACCUCCUUAACGAACCACUGGCAGAAAGCAGGGGAGAUCCACUCUCUGGCAUGGAUACCACAGUCCAGGAAGAUAGCAGGCUUGGUGGAGCCAGUCUGCUUGCCAAUCUGUGAGAGCAAAUGUAUGCUGUUUACUGGGGCUCAGGGUUAAAAAGGAAACAUAUAUAUGUUAUUAGGGAUUAAAAUAUAUUCCCAUUUUCACAGCUGCAUGUUGACACAUUGUAUUAGAGCACCAUUUUGACAGUGAGUGAAGAGUAUGUACCAUCUGUAAUGGUGUGAUAAGGAGAAGAGAGACUCCUAGUGGACAGUGUCUGUACCUUCAGCAAGUGCAUGGGACGGCCCUCGUAGGUGUUUCCGAUCACCUGUCUGCUCAUCAGAUUAGAGUUGGCUGAGGUGAUGGAGGUGAUCCAGGCCUGGAUCUGUGGAGAGACGGACAGGGGAAGAGGUCAACCAGCAGAUGCAGAAGAUGAUGGGAGGAUGAGGCAAGAUGGUGGAAGAGUCAGUCUGAAGAUGUAGAGGACAUUACAAAAUUAAGGAUGAAAUUGACACAGAAUGCAAAUGCAUAAGGAGAAGCUCACCUUGUCCCAGCUGUUGUACUUGGUGUAGGUGUGGGACCUGGGGCUGACCCUAGGCCCGUCCCUCUGAGCCUCAAUCUGAGCCUGGAGAUCCUCAAUCAGAAUCCUGCAGGGAACCAUGAACUCUCUCUGUACUAACUCUACUCUCUAUAAAUAACACUUCUGUGCAGUUUACUGUGUACUAUUUGCAUGUGUCAUUUGAAGUGUAUGUGUCUGCCACUAUGGAUGCAUCUAAAAAAAAUUAGAAUAUCAUGGAAAAUAUUUUUUCCCCAUUAUUUAUUUCAAAAAGUGAAACUUUCAUAAUCUAGAUUCAUUACACAUAAAUGUACAUAUUUCUUUCAAGACUUUUUUAUUUUAAUCUUGAAGAUUAUGGUUUACAGCUCAUGGAAAUGAACAAAUCCAGUAUCUCAAAAUAUUAGAAUAAAGAAUUUAUAAUACAGAAAUGUUGAACUGAGAAGAGCUCUAAUCCGCUAAUUAAGUCAAAAUACCGGCAAUGGUUUCAUGAGCUUUUAAUCUCUCAGCCUGGGCAGGGCAAUAGACUUUUCCAUGAUAUUCAUUUUUUUUAGAUGCACCUGUAUAUAAUGUAUUGAAAUAAACAUCAUGUGCAGAUAGGGAUAAUUGAACAAA